rnacentral:tRNA from 1 species
AUUUCCAUGGUGAAAUAAAUCACAUAGCUUUUUCAAUGCUAAAUUGCAGACAUGCUUGAAAUA